ensembl:snRNA U6 U6 spliceosomal RNA
GUGCUCACUUCAGCAGCACAUAUGCUAAAAUUGGAAUGAAGCAAAGAAGAUGAGCAGGACUCUUGCACAAGGAUGACACACAAAUUUGUGAGGUGUUCCAUAUUAAG